rnacentral:rRNA from 1 species
GCACCCGUAGAAGUUUUGAUCCUGGCUCAGGACGAACGCCGGGCGGCGUGCCUAAUACAUGCAAGUCGAGCGGACAGAAGGGAGCUUGCUCCCGGAUGUUAGCGGCGGACGGGUGAGUAACACGUGGGUAACCUGCCUGUAAGACUGGGAUAACUCCGGGAAACCGGAGCUAAUACCGGAUAGUUCCUUGAACCGCAUGGUUCAAGGAUGAAAGACGGUUUCGGCUGUCACUUACAGAUGGACCCGCGGCGCAUUAGCUAGUUGGUGGGGUAAUGGCUCACCAAGGCGACGAUGCGUAGCCGACCUGAGAGGGUGAUCGGCCACACUGGGACUGAGACACGGCCCAGACUCCUACGGGAGGCAGCAGUAGGGAAUCUUCCGCAAUGGACGAAAGUCUGACGGAGCAACGCCGCGUGAGUGAUGAAGGUUUUCGGAUCGUAAAGCUCUGUUGUUAGGGAAGAACAAGUGCGAGAGUAACUGCUCGCACCUUGACGGUACCUAACCAGAAAGCCACGGCUAACUACGUGCCAGCAGCCGCGGUAAUACGUAGGUGGCAAGCGUUGUCCGGAAUUAUUGGGCGUAAAGGGCUCGCAGGCGGUUUCUUAAGUCUGAUGUGAAAGCCCCCGGCUCAACCGGGGAGGGUCAUUGGAAACUGGGAAACUUGAGUGCAGAAGAGGAGAGUGGAAUUCCACGUGUAGCGGUGAAAUGCGUAGAGAUGUGGAGGAACACCAGUGGCGAAGGCGACUCUCUGGUCUGUAACUGACGCUGAGGAGCGAAAGCGUGGGGAGCGAACAGGAUUCGAUACCCUGGUAGUCCACGCCGUAAACGAUGAGUGAUAAGUGUUAGGGGGUUUCCGCCCCUUAGUGCUGCAGCUAACGCAGUAAGCAUCUUGCCG